UGGCCCCAUACUGGGGGGAAGUUGAAAUGCCCAUUGUGAUCCUUGGAGACUCCACUUACCCUUUAAUGCUGUGGUUCAGGAAACCCUACACAGGGAGCCUUCACAGCAGCAAGGAGAAGUUCAGCAACAGGCUGCGCCGGUGCACAAUGACUGUGGAGUGUGCUUUGGCCGUUUAAAGUGCUGCUGGCGCUCUCUGUAUGGAAGGCUGGAC